UCAUCCCUUUGUCUCCCAGUCACAGAAAAGCUGCCAAAUUAGCCAGUGCCCCAAAAGCGCCCCUACCAACCUCAGGCGACCGCACAACGGCAGAUUCCCUGGCCAGUCUCUGUUCACAAGGUUUCUGUGCUGAAACCUGCAAGGAAAGCGUCUCCUUUCGCGAUACGAAUGCUCCCCCUGGAUGGCAUUCAUCUAAGGAAAUGGCGGCCUCCCAGGGGAGCACUCAUUAAUUACUUCCCUUCCAGUUUCACAGUUAUGUUGCCAGUGUGAAAAUUCUGAUUAUUGGUGGGAACGUUCUAAUGGGGCCCUGUGGUGGUCCACAUUCGGGAGACCAAUGGGUUUUGUUAGUAUGAACGCUUUUGAACGGGGAAACAGGGUAUACUGCAUGAAAGUCAGGGAAAACACAUUAAACAAAGGGGAAAAUGCACGAAUAGACAGCGGUUCUGCCACAGAUGCCUUCUUGAUUCGUAUGUGGUCAAUGGGUUAAAGUUGAAAUUUGGAUUAAGGAGCAUACCCCUAAACGGUAACUGGUAAUAGAGUUGCAGUGUUUUUAUUAUUAUUAUCUUGUGUCCCUGGGUACUGCCCCCACAUUCGUACACUGGGAGAUUUGCCGGUGAUUUGACCAUAAUUGGCUUUUUUCAUGACUGCCCCCUCCCCCCUGAAUCUACUAUCCUGGCAUGACUGUCUCCUCCACCUUAAGUCUACCAUCCUGGCAUGACUGCCACCUGAAUCUACCAUCCUGGCAUGACUGCCACCUGAAUCUACCAUCCUAGUUAAGCAACAGUGUACAGAUACCAUUCAUGAAAGAUUUGGGCUACAGAUUGCCAUUUUGGUGAGGCUAGAGGUAGGUAAAUAAUUAAUAUUAUUAAAGGAACACUACAGGCACCAUAACCACAUAUGGUAGUAGUGGUUGGAGCGCCCUAUUGCUUUACAUUGGAAUCAAACCAUGUUUAAACUAUUUGACUUCUUACCUAGGAUUUGCCAGGCAUCAUGCUAAUCAUACGCUACUAAAGUCGCAGAGCCAUUUGAUGCAAUAAGCUGUAAUAAUAUAAUGAGCUGUAAUGAUACAAUAAGCUGUAAUAAUAUAAUGAAAUGUAAUGAUACAAUAAGCUGUAAUAAUAUAAUGAAAUGUAAUGAUACACUGAGCUGUAAUAAUACAAUGAGCUGUAAUUAUAUAAUGAGCUGUAAUUAUAUACACUGAGCUGUAAUAAUAUUAUGAGCUGUAAUGAUACAAUGAACUGUAAUAAAUAUAAUGAGCUGUUAUUAUACACUGAACUGUAAUGAUACAAUAAGCUGUAAUGCUGGAUCCCAAAAGCAACAUACAAACACAAACACAUCAACAACCCAUUCGUGGCGGCCACCAUGCAAGUCUGGCACAGACAGGGCGCGAAACAAUAUCUGACGACAGACCCCGGCCCACUUCUCCCCUUGAGAGGCAACCCAGACUUCCCGGCAGGGGACAUGGGCCCAACCCCGCAC